CAGUAGCCACGGUAAUACGAAGGGUGCAAGCGUUAAUCGGAAUUACUGGGCGUAAAGCGUGCGCAGGCGGUUUUGUAAGACAGGCGUGAAAUCCCCGGGCUCAACCUGGGAAUGGCGCUUGUGACUGCAAAGCUAGAGUGCGGCAGAGGGGGAUGGAAUUCCGCGUGUAGCAGUGAAAUGCGUAGAUAUGCGGAGGAACACCGAUGGCGAAGGCAAUCCCCUGGGCCUGCACUGACGCUCAUGCACGAAAGCGUGGGGAGCAAACAGGAUUAGAUACCCCGGUAGUCCCUGUCUCUUAUAA
rnacentral:rRNA from 1 species